UACGUAGGGGGCAAGCGUUGUCCGGAAUCAUUGGGCGUAAAGCGCGCGUAGGCGGCCCGGUAAGUCCGUUGUAAAAGUCAAAGGCUCAACCUUUGAAAGCCGAUGGAUACUGCCGGGCUAGAAUCCGGAAGAGGCGAGUGGAAUUCCUGGUGUAGCGGUGGAAUGCGCAGAUAUCAGGAAGAACACCAACGGCGAAGGCAGCUCGCUGGGACGGUACUGACGCUGAGACGCGAAAGCGUGGGGAGCGAACAGG
rnacentral:rRNA from 1 species